UCCCAGGAGACCUUCGGUCAGCGGGGCCACGGGUUGGCAGCCAGGCCCAGAGAGCAGUGUAGCCUUGAAGGGGCGCGAGCCGCCCGGCCUGCUGGGUCGUGACCCGCCGUGGACAGUGCAUCGGCCCCGAGGAGAGAGGGAGGCGCUGAUUGCCCAGGAUGCCUUCGGUCAGCGGGACCUCGGGGUGCAUGCCAGGCCCAGGGAGCAGUGUAGCCUUGAAGGGGCGCGAGCCGCCCGGCCUGCUCCCUGUCCCGCCGUGGACAGUGCAUCGGCCCCGGGGAGAGAGAGGCGCUGAUUUCCCAGGAGACCUUCGGUCAGCGGGGCCACGGGUUGGCAGCCAGGCCCAGAGAGCAGUGUAGCCUUGAAGGGGCGCGAGCCGCCCGGCCUGCUGGGUCGUGACCCGCCGUGGACAGUGCAUCGGCCCCGAGGAGAGAGGGAGGCGCUGAUUGCCCAGGAUGCCUUCGGUCAGCGGGACCUCGGGGUGCAUGCCAGGCCCAGGGAGCAGUGUAGCCUUGAAGGGGCGCGAGCCGCCCGGCCUGCUCCCUGUCCCGCCGUGGACAGUGCAUCGGCCCCGGGGAGA